CCCCACGACUCGGCCGCGUCGACUCCAGCUCCAAUAGCGUAUAUUAAAGUUGUUGCAGUUAAAAAGCUCGUAGUUGAAACUUGGGCCUGGCUGGCCGGUCCGCCUCACCGCGUGUACUGGUCCGCCGGGCCUUUCCUUCUGGAGAGCCCCAUGCCCUUCACUGGGUGUGCGGGGGAACCAGGACUUUUACUUUGAAAAAUUAGAGUGUUUAAAGCAGGCCUUUGCUCGAAUACGUUAGCAUGGAAUAAUAGAAUAGGACGUGCGAUCCUAUUUGUUGGUUUCUAGGACCGCCGUAAUGAUUAAUAGGGACAGUCGGGGGCAUCAGUAUUCAAUUGUCAGAGGUGAAAUUCUUGGAUUUAUUGAAGACUAACUACUGCGAAAGCAUUUGCCAAGGAUGUUUUCAUUAAUCAGUGAACGAAAGUUAGGGGAUCGAAGACGAUCAGAUACCGUCGUAGUCUUAACCGUAAACUAUGCCGACUAGGGAUCGGGCGAUGUUUUAUCUUGACUCGCUCGGCACCUUACGAGAAAUCAAAGUUUUGGGUUCUGGGGGGAGUAUGGUCGCAAGGCUGAAACUUAA
rnacentral:rRNA from 1 species